CAAACCAAAACACUUCACGGGCAGGAUUUUUAGAUUUCCAAAUAAUUUGCAGUUACUGCAUCCUAAUUUUCCAACAAAGUUGUAUCUAUGAAAAUAAUUGUUGGCUUACUGGAAACGUCUGAGUCGGAAAACUUUUCGUUAUUAAUUGCUCCAUUAUUGUUCAGAUCUUGCUCAAAUAAUCUAAACUUUCGUUAUAAUUCUGAUUCAACCUUAGAUUUAUCUAUCUCGGAAGAUUCGUUGUUAGUGACAUGUUCGUCAUCACUGUGUGACAAGUGCUUUAAUUUCUUCCGUGCAGCACUUAAUUGUUGUUUCCUCGAUUUCCUUUUUAAUCCAAAAGAACGUUGAAACGUUGUUUUUUUUUUGGUGCCAUUCUUCUAUAUUACUUCAACAAAAUAAAAACAGCUAUAAUGAUGUCAAUUUUUAAAGUCUCCUGGAUACGCUUUGUUCACGUGACACUCGCGAACCAAUGAGCAGUUCCAUUUUGCAGAUGAACCAAUAAGCUUCCAGUGUGUAUAGAAAACUUCAGCUUUUAAACAUGCUCUCAUUGGAUGUAGAAAAUUAAUUCAAGAACUUACUUCCAAUAGCAUCAAAGACAAAGAGUUGCACUUUCCAACAGUAUAUAAUAUGUCGGGGAAGGUGUCAUGGCGGCAGUGAACUGCACGUGUAAACAUUGCUAAAUAUGCAAUGUUUAGAUCCACUUUUGUGACACUUAAGUUAGUAAAAUGGUUUUUUUUGCAUUUUAAUAAAAUUUUUUCUGCAUAAUCUAUAUAUUUUUAUAAAGUAGAGACUACGUAGAAUAUGAAAUACUAAAAAACUGAAAUUUGAUAUUUUUUCUGAAAAUUGUCAUUUUUAAAACCCGUAAAUAAUAUACACAAUAUCUCAAAAACUAUUAUAUAAUUAUGAACCACAGACAGUAUAUAAAUAGACAGUGAUAUUUCACUGUCUAUUUAUAUAUGGUUUAAAUUUAAUGAUUGUUUAUCCUUCUAAAGUGUCACUCUGAUUGAAUUCCUUUUUCUAAUUUUUAUGAAGAGAUGUAAAGUUACACCUUACAGCAAGCUUGAAUUCCAUGUACCCACAAUGGUACUGACAGACAAAACUAACAGAUAUUAGACCUUGCUACAGUAAAUCACGCAUUGUGGAUAAGGACGAAUGAUGAGUCUAUUACAAUGAUAUAAAGACUACAGUCUAAAUAAACCAAUAACUUCUUUUAUUUACAAGAGAGAAAUUUCUUUACAAUGAACAUGUUUGACAAUGGAUAAGUAGAGUUAAAAAUACCUCCAUUAUUUAGAUUGUUCUUUUGAUUCAUAUGAUCAGUUUCAGUCCUUCUGCUGCCAAUAUUAUUGAAAAAAUAGCUGGAGAAUAUGUUGAUAAAAGUCUCAUUGGAAAUGCCAAAUUUUAUUGAGUACAAACAGGAACAAUAGACAAUUUAGCAGAUAAUGAACAACCAAAAACCAUUGGAUUGAAUUGUUACUUCCUCAUUGAAAUUCUAAAAGAAAUUAUCUUUCCAAAUCUCAACCAAGCUGUUAUAUCUGAGUCCCAGGCAACACUGACCUUUUCUUCAGAAAAAGAGGAUGUUUAUCUUCAAUUGUCUUUUGAUGUCAUCUUAUCAUUAAUUUCACAUGAUACCUUUGUGUACUAUUUUGUUAUAACAUAUAUAAGACAAAAGUUCAUGGGUUGGAUGAUAUGACAGUAUGAAACAUGACUGUAUUUCUUCUGUUAGUGUGUCUCUCUCCCCCCUUUAAAUUCCUUUCUCCAUCUUUUUUAAUUGAACCGAAAAUAAAACAGAGAUUUAAAGGUAAGGAAAGACAUACUACAUCCAACUGGAAUGCCUAUCCUCACAUUUAUAACUGUGAAGUCUACGGGAACUAGCGGACGGAUUGACAGGUUUGACCUUGAGUGCGUGUGAGCUUUUAGGUAAGGACGAGUGAACAGUGG
rnacentral:lncRNA from 1 species